ACCUCCGGGGGCUGGGAGGUUCGACUCGAGCGAAGCGAGAGAACGUUGCGCCAGCAACGGCCCGCAGGGCGAGCCACGAAGUGGCGAGUAAUCCUCUAUCACCGACCA
rnacentral:sRNA from 1 species